GAAUUAAUCAAUUUAUUUAAAAUUUUAUUUUUAUUUUAUUAUUUAAUAAAAGUAUUUUUUGUUUUUUAUUUUUAAAGAUAAAUGAUUAUUUAUUAUAGGGAAUUAGUAAAGUGAUUGAAUAUUUAAAUAUCUGAAAAUUUAAAUGUUUAAAAGAAAAUUUAAUUAAUUGUACCUUGUGUAUCAGGGUUUACUAAAUAAUAAUUAUAUAAUUUAAUUUUCUCGAAUUUAAAAGAGUUAAAAAGUUAUAAAUUUUAUUGUGAAAUAAAUAUUUAAAAUAGCUUUUUAGUAAUGAAACGUUAGUCGUUUUUAAAUUUAUCUAGUUUUUUAAGAAAUAAAUUUAAUUUAGUUAAUUAUUAUUUAAUAGAAAUAAUUGUUUAUUUUUAUUAAUAUAAUUAAUUAAUAUUUUAAGGGAUAAGCUUUAAAAUAGAAAAUUUAAAAAUUAAUAAAAUUUUAUAAAAUAAAUAGAAUUGGAAGUUUUUAAUAUUUAUAGUGUGUUAUAACAAAUUUUAUAUUUUUUAGGAUUUUUAUAAAAUUUUAAAUUUUUUAUUAAAAUUAUUAAUUUAACUGUAAAAUUAAUGUAAUAAUGGUAAAAUUAGUAUAAGUAAUUGAUGUGAGGUUAAUUUAAAUUAGUAAGGUUAAAUUAAGGAACUCGGCAAUUUUUUUUUUCGCCUGUUUAUUAAAAACAUGUCUUUUUGAGUAUAAUUUAAAGUCUAGCCUGCCCAAUGAAUUAUUGGAUUGAAUGGCCGCGAUAUUUUGAUCGUGCUAAGGUAGCAUAAUAAUUAGUUUUUUAAUUGAGAACUGGAAUGAAUGGCUGGACGAGAAAAAAACUGUCUCAAUUUAAUUUUAAUUAGAAUUUUAUAUUUAAGUUAAAAAGCUUAAAUAUAUUUAAAAGACGAGAAGACCCUAUAGAGUUUUAUAUAAAUUAAAUUUUUAUUUUAAAGACUUUAAAUUUUAUAAGUUUAAUUUAUAUUUAGUUGGGGUGACUUAAAAAUUAAAAUAACUUUUUAUUUAUUAAAACAUUAAUAUAUGAUUAAAUGAUCCAUUUUUAAUGAUUAAAAGAUUAAAUUACCUUAGGGAUAACAGCGUAAUUUUUUUUGAGAGUUCUUAUCGAAAGAAAAGUUUGCGACCUCGAUGUUGGAUUAAAAUAUACUUUUGGUGUAGCCGUUAAAAAAGUUGGGUCUGUUCGACCUUUAAAAUUUUACAUGAUCUGAGUUUAAACCGGCGUGAGCCAGGUUGGUUUCUAUCUUUAAAAAUUUUAGAUAUUUUAGUACGAAAGGACCAAAUAUUAAUAAAAUUUAUUUUUUUAUGAAUAUUAUUAAAAUAUUACUUUGGCAGAUUAGUGCUUUAAAUUUAGAAUUU
rnacentral:rRNA from 1 species